GGACACCAGCCCUUCAGGACCGAGUUUGCCCACCCCUGCCAUAAUGCAGCACAAGAGAAUUCAUGAAUGGGAGUGCAGCAACACAACUGCAGGAAGCGUCAUGGCAUCUGUGAUUGUCUUAUGGAAACUUUGUUUCCAGUUAAGAGUUGCAGAUCGUGGAGUUAGCAGUGAUGCAUGUUCCUUGAGCUGGGAGAACUAUGUGUGUGUACGCUUAAUAAAUAAGCAGAUUUUGCAGUAA